rnacentral:misc_RNA from 1 species
UAAGGCUCUCUUUUUUGUUGUUCUGUUUUAUUCAUUAAACUUCAGAGAAAAGAUAAAAGAAUUGCAUAAUCUCUGUUUUCGUACGAGAUCUUGUGAGUGUGCAGAGUGUGCGUGCUACUCAUCUGUGUUUGAUUACCUAUACCGUUUGUUUGAGUGUUUUUGAUGGAUACCCACUUGGAUUUUUACAUUUUCUGGGAUAUUGUUUUUCUUUGGUG